UACAGAGGUCCCAAGCGUUGUUCGGAUUCACUGGGCGUAAAGGGUGCGCAGGCGGCCGUGUGUGUGAGGCGUGAAAGCCCGGGGCUUAACCCCGGAAUUGCACCUCAAACUACACGGCUAGAGCAUUGGAGAGGGUAGCAGAAUUCACGGUGUAGCAGUGAAAUGCGUAGAUAUCGUGAGGAAUACCAGAGGCGAAGGCGGCUACCUGGACAAUUGCUGACGCUCAGGCACGAAAGCGUGGGGAGCAAAAGGG
rnacentral:rRNA from 1 species